rnacentral:ribozyme from 1 species
UGCCCAGCAACUCCUAUCCCUACUCCUCGUGGUACCGGCCGGAAACUAUGAGCAACCUUAGGGAAGAUCGGGUAACCAACCCCGGUUGGAACUUUGGUCGUAGGCUGACAGGGAAGG